rnacentral:rRNA from 1 species
CCUACGGGAGGCAGCAGUAGGGAAUAUUGCUCAAUGGGGGAAACCCUGAAGCAGCAACGCCGCGUGGAGGAUGAAGGUUUUCGGAUUGUACACUCCUUUUGUUAGAGAAGAUAUUGACUGUAUCUAACGAAUAAGCACCGGCUAACUCCGUGCCAGCAGCCGCGGUAAUCCGGAGGGUGCAAGCGUUACUCGGAAUCACUGGGCGUAAAGAGCGAGUAGGCGGGAAAGCAAGUCAGAUGUGAAAUCCUAUGGAUUAACCAUAGAACUGCAUUUGAAACUGAUAUUCUAGAGUAUGGGAGAGGUAUGCGGAAUUCGUGGUGUAGGGGUAAAAUCCGUAGAGAUCAAGAGGAAUACUCAUUGCGAAGGCGACCUGCGAGAACAUAACUGACGCUGAUGCGCGAAAGCGUGGGGAGCGAACAGGAUUAGAUACCCGUGUAGUC